rnacentral:lncRNA from 1 species
AAGUACAGAUUAGAGCUGCUAAUUGUCACCUUUUGCUAGGUGAAGUAGAAAAUGUUCAGCGGUGCUAUAACAAGUGCUUGGAAUCAAGUAAAGUUGUUUGUUUGGAUCGGAGAGUAACAGUUGAAGUAGCUGAAGGUUUACAGAAAGCUCAGGAAGUGGCGAAGUGUAUGAAUGAUGCUGCUAAACUUUUGAAGGAAAGGACUUCUGAUGCAGGUGGUUCUGCUUUAGAACUACUUACAAAGGCAUUGUCAAAGAGCUUAUACUCAGAAAGAUUGCUCCAAAUGAAGGCCGAUGCUCUCUAUCUGCUGCAAAAGUAUGAUGCAGCAAUUCAGCUUUGUGACCAGAGUCUGAAUCUUGCAGAAAAGAAUUUUGUCUUGGCAAACAGUGUGAACAAUUCCAUGCAUAAUAGUUACUCAAGUGUAAAAAUAUGGAGAUGGUCAUUUAUAUCUAAGUGUUACUUUCGUUUGGG